rnacentral:lncRNA from 1 species
UGUACUUUUGACACCAACUAAGCAUUUCAUCUUAUGAGAACUCAUUCAUAACAUCUUAUUAGCGUAUUGUAUGUGUUUCUUUGCUUAAGUUGCAAAGCUUGUCAAACACACGCUCUUUUAAUACCGCGAGUACUUAAAACAGCGCAAAUACACUCCAAAUAGUGUACUUUUGACACCAAAUAAGAAUUUGAUUUCUUGAGAACUCAUUCUUAUCAUCUUAUUUGCGUAUUAUAUGUGCUUAUUUACUAAAGUUCCAAAGAGUAUCAAACACACGCUCGUUUUAAAGCACGAAUGCUUAAAACAGUGCAAAUACACUCCAAAUAGUGUACUUCUGAUACAAAAUAAGCAUUUGAUCUCUUCAGAACUCAUUCUUAACGCCUUAUGAGCGUACUAUAUGUGUUUAUUUGCUUAAGUUCCGAAACGUGUCAAACGCAUGCUCGUUUUAUACCACGAAUGGUUAAAACAAUGCAAAUACACUCCAAAUAGUGUACUUUGGACACCAAAUAAGCAUUUGAUAUGAUGAGACCACAUUCGUAAAGUCUUAUUAGCAUAUUAUAUUUGUUUAUUUGCUUAAGUUCCAAAGCGUAUCCAACGCACACUCGUUUCAUCCCACGAAUGUUUAAAACAGUGCAAAAGCACUCCAAAUAGUGUACUUCCGGCACCAAAUAAGCAUUUGAUCUUUUGAGACCUCAUUCUUAACGUCUUUUUAGCGUAUUAUAUGUGUUUGUUUGCUUAAGUUCCAAAGCAUGUCCAACGCACUCUCGUUUUAUCCAAUGAAUGCUUAAAACAGUGAAAAUACAUUCCAAAUAGUGUACAUUUGACCCCAAUUAAGCAUUUCAUCUUAUCAGAACUCAUUCAUAACAUCUUAUUAGCGUAUUGUAUGUGUUUAUUUGCUUAAGUUGCAAAGCUUGUCAAACAUGCGCUCUUUUAAUCCCGCGAAUACUUAAAACAGCGCAAAUACACUCCAAAUAGUGUACUUUUGACAUCAAAUAAGCAUUUGAUGUUUUGAGCACUCAUUCUUAUCAUCUUAUUUACGUAUUAUAUGUGCUUAUUUACUUAAGUUCCAAAGUGUAUCAAACACACACUCGUUUUAAAGCACAAAUGCUUAAAACAGUGCACAUACACUCUAAACAGUGUACUUUUGAUACAAAAUAAGCAUUUGAUCUCUUGAGAACUCAUUCUCAACGUCUUAUGAGCAUACUAUACAUGUUUAUUUGAUUAAGUUCCAAAGAUUGUAAAACGCACGCUCGUUUUAUACCAGGAAUGCUUAAAACAGUGCAAAUACACUCCAAAUAGUGUGCUCUUGACAACACAUAAGCAUUUGAUAUUUUGAGAACUCAUUCAUAACGUAUUAUUAACGUAUUAGAUGAGUUAUUUGCUUAAGUUCCAAAGCGUAUCCAACAGACACUCGUUUUAUCCCACAAAUGAUUAAAACGGUGCAAAAGCAUUCCAAAUAGUGUACUUUGGACACCAAAUAAGCAUUUGAUCUUUUGAGAACUUAUUCUUAAUGUCUUAUUAGCAUAUUAUAUGUGUUUGUUUGCUUAAGUUCCAAAGCAUAUCCAACGCACUCUCAUUUUAUCCAGUGAAUGCUUAAAACAGUGUAAAUACACUCCAAAUAAUGUACUUUUGACACCAACUAUGCAUUUCAUCUUAUCAGAACUCAUUCAUAACGUCUUAUUAGCGUAUUGCAUGUGUUUAUUUGCCUAAGUUGCAAAGCUUGACAAACGCACGCUCUUUUAAUCCCCCGAAUGCUUAAAACAGCGCGAACACACUCCAAAUAGUGUAUUUUUUACACCGAAUAAGCAUUUGAUGUUUUGAGAACUCAUUCUUAUCAUCUUAUUUACGUAUUAUAUGUGCUUAUUUAUUGAAGUUCCAAAGCGUAUCAAACACAGACUAGUUUUAAAGCACAAAUGCUUAAAACAGUGCAAAUACACUCCAAAUAGUGUACUUUUGAUACAAAAUAAGCAUUUGAUCUCUUGAGAACUCAUUCUAAACGUCUUAUGAGCGUACUAUAUGUGUUUAUUUGCAUAAGUUCCAAAGCUAGUAAAACGCACGCUCGUUUUAUACCACGAAUGUUUAAAACAGUGCGAAUACACUCCAAAUAGUGUGCUUUUGACACCACAUAAGCAUUUGAUCUUUUGAGAACACAUUCGUAACAUCUUAUUAAUGUAUUGGAUGAGUUUAUUUUCUUACGUUCCAAAAUGUCUCCAACGAAUGCUCGUUUUAUUCCACGAAUGCUUAAAAUAGUGCAAAGACAAUCUAAAUAGUGUACUUUUGACUCCCAAUAAGCACUUGGUCUUUUGAGAACUCAUUCUUAACAUCUUAUUAGCGUAUUAUAUGUGUUUAUUUGCUUAAGUUCCAAACAAUAUCCAUCGCACGCUCCUUUUAUCCAACGAAUGCUUUAAACAGUGCAAAUACACUCCAAAUAGUGUACUUUUGACACCAACUAAGCAUUUCAUCUUAUGAGAACUCAUUCAUAACAUCUUAUUAGCGUAUUGUAUGUGUUUAUUUGCUUAAAUUGCAAAGCUUGUCAAAGCACGCUCUUUUAAUCCCACGAUUGCUUAAAACAACGCAAAUACAAUCCAAAUAGUGUACUUUUGACACCAAAUAGGCAUUUGAUGUUUUGAGAACUCAUUCUUAUCAUCUUAUUUGCACAUUAUAUGUGCCUAUUUACUUAAGUUCCAAAGCGUGUCAAACACAUGCUCAUUUUAAAGCACGAAUGCUUAAAACAGUGCAAAUACACUUCAAAUAAUGUACUUUGACACCAAAUAAGUAUUUGUUCUUUUGAGAACUCAUUCUUAACGUCUUACGAGCGUACUAUACGUAUUUAUUUGCUUAAGUUGCAAAGCCUGUAAAACGCACGCUCGUUUUAUACAACGAACGCUUAAAACAGUGCAAAUACAUUCCAAAUAGUGUGCUUUUGACACCACAAAAGCAUUUGAUCUUUUGAGAAUUCAUUCGCA